CCAAAUACAAUGCUACAGUAUGCGCUACAGUGCAUCGUUUGUUUUUUUGUUGUCGUGUUUGUACAGUAAUUUGCCUGACUGCUACAGUGUUUUCGGUGUUACAGUAAAAAUAAUAUAUAUAUAUAUAUUUAUAUAUUUAUAUAUAAAAGCUAAUAUCCAACUUGGGAUACAAUCCUAUUAUACCUAAUGAACUCUUAAAAGAAAAUCAACUUUACCACAGCCCAUGAAGUUAAGAAGGGGUACAAAAAAAUCAUGAAGGAAUGGAGGGAAAAAAAAAUCUGAUCGUAUAUGAUUCAAUUCACAAUCGUUGCAUAUUUUGAUCGAGUUCGUGUCUUUACCAACCCACCAAGUUCGGCUUGCAGCCUCAACACCUCUUCUUGAACCCUAGGAUGUUCACCAUUCAGCAUCUUGGCCUUAGUGGACAUAUGCAACCUCGUCCUCCUCCAGCUCCUGCCUCAAUUUGAUAAACCUAGCACCAUUAGAAAACAAGAAAUUAAAUGAGAUUAUCAUGUCAUUUAAUCAUUGAUAUUAUGUAUGUAUUCGUAUUCUUUGGUGGUAAUUUAGGAAUACAAUACAAUUAUAAAGUAACUAUUAAGUAAUUGAAUGUGUUAAUUAUUACAAGCAACUUAGUGCAAUGUAAUAAAAUAGCACGUAACAUUUGGUAUUACUCGAAGGAAGAAAAUAGAAGAAUAAUUAUAAAAAAAAAGAAAAGAAAAGAAAAGAAGAAUACCUAUCCUUUUCCCUUUGUAGUUUUAGAUAAGAAGCAAGGUACAAAGCUGUAUCUCGAACUUCUUUUAGCAUAUCACAAGCUUCCUUUAUUCCUUUGACGUGGGCUUCCACAAUUUUUCCCUCCUUAGUUUCUUGCACAAAUUUUUCCUCAUCAAAUCCUUCCAACUCGUUUUGUUCUUCCACAUGAUCAACUUCUUCCAUCUUUUCUCAGUCACUCACUCCGUCUUAUGUCUUGUCUUCUCACCUGAGUUCCUUG
rnacentral:lncRNA from 1 species